UACGUAGGGGGCUAGCGUUGUCCGGAAUCAUUGGGCGUAAAGAGCGUGUAGGCGGCUCGGUAAGUCCGCUGUAAAGGUCAAAGGCUCAACCUUUGAAUGUCAGUGGAUACUGCCGGGCUAGAGUCCGGAAGAGGCGAGUGGAACUCCUGGUGUAGCGGUGGAAUGCGCAGAUAUCAGGAAGAACACCAACGGCGAAGGCAGCUCGCUGGGACGGUACUGACGCUGAGACGCGAAAGCGUGGGGAGCGAACAGG
rnacentral:rRNA from 1 species